UACAGAGGUCCCGAGCGUUGUUCGGAUUCACUGGGCGUAAAGGGUGCGUAGGUGGUGAGGAAAGUCGGAUGUGAAAUCUCCAAGCUCAACUUGGAAAUGGCAUUGGAAACUACCUUGCUCGAGGUUUGGAGGGGGGACUGGAAUUCUCGGUGUAGCAGUGAAAUGCGUAGAUAUCUGGAGGAACACCGAUGGCGAAGGCAGCCCCCUGGGCUAACACUGACGC
rnacentral:rRNA from 1 species